CUUUGAUCAUGGCUCAGGACGAACGCUGGCGGCGUGCCUAACACAUGCAAGUCGAACGAAGCUUGACGGUAGAUUUCUUCGGAAUGAAGCCUGAUAUGACUUAGUGGCGGACGGGUGAGUAACACGUGAGCAACCUGCCUUUCAGAGAGGAAUAACGGCUGGAGACGGUCGCUAAUACCUCAUAAUGUAUAUUUAAGGCAUCUUAGAUAUACCAAAGAUUUAUCGCUGAAAGAUGGGCUCGCGUCUGAUUAGAUAGUUGGUGAGGUAAUGGCUCACCAAGUCGACGAUCAGUAGCCGGACUGAGAGGUUGAACGGCCACAUUGGGACUGAGACACGGCCCAGACUCCUACGGGAGGCAGCAGUGGGGAAUAUUGCACAAUGGGCGCAAGCCUGAUGCAGCAACGCCGCGUGAGGGAAGACGGUUUUCGGAUUGUAAACCUUUGUCUUUGGUGAAGAAGAAAGUGACGGUAACCAAGGAGGAAGCCACGGCUAACUACGUGCCAGCAGCCGCGGUAAUACGUAGGUGGCAAGCGUUGUCCGGAAUUACUGGGUGUAAAGGGAGCGCAGGCGGGGCUGCAAGUUGGAUGUGAGAUACCGAGGCUCAACCUCGGGGCUGCAUCCAAAACUGUAGUUCUUGAGUGAAGUAGAGGUAGGCGGAAUUCCGAGUGUAGCGGUGAAAUGCGUAGAUAUUCGGAGGAACACCAGUGGCGAAGGCGGCCUACUGGGCUUUAACUGACGCUGAGGCUCGAAAGUGUGGGGAGCAAACAGGAUUAGAUACCCUGGUAGUCCACACUGUAAACGAUGAUAGCUAGGUGUGGGGGGUCUGACCCCUUCCGUGCCGGAGUUAACGCAAUAAGCUAUCCACCUGGGGAGUACGGCCGCAAGGUUGCAACUCAAAGGAAUUGACGGA
rnacentral:rRNA from 1 species